UACGUAGGGUGCAAGCGUUGUCCGGAAUUAUUGGGCGUAAAGAGCUCGUAGGCGGUUCGUCGCGUCGGCUGUGAAAACCCGGAGCUCAACUCCGGGCCUGCAGUCGAUACGGGCGGACUUGAGUGUUGCAGGGGAGACUGGACUUCCUGGUGUAGCGGUGAAAUGCGCAGAUAUCAGGAGGAACACCGGUGGCGAAGGCGGGUCUCUGGGCAACAACUGACGCUGAGGAGCGAAAGCGUGGGGAGCGAACAGG
rnacentral:rRNA from 1 species